AUUGAACGCUGGCGGCAGGCCUAACACAUGCAAGUCGAGCGAGCGGCGGACGGGUGAGUAAUGUCUGGGAAACUGCCUGAUGGAGGGGGAUAACUACUGGAAACGGUAGCUAAUACAGCAUACCAUCAGAUGUGCCCAGAUGGGAUUAGAUAGUAGGUGGGGUAACGGCUAAACUAGGCGACGAUCCCUAGCUGGUCUGAGAGGAUGACCGGCCACACUGGAACUGAGACACGGUCCAUACUCCUACGGGAGGCAGUAGUGGGGAAUAUUGCAUAAUGGGCGCAAGCCGGAUGCAGCCAUGCCGCGUGUUUGAAGAAGGCUUUCGGGUUGUAAAGCACUUUCAGCGGGGAGGCGUUACCCGCAGAAGAAGCACCGGCUAACUCCGUGCCAACAGCCGCGGUAAUUC
rnacentral:rRNA from 1 species